UACGAACUGUGCGAACGUUAUUCGGAAUCACUGGGCUUACAGGGUGCGUAGGCGGCCUUUCAAGUCAGGUGUGAAAGCCCCCGGCUCAACCGGGGAACUGCGCUUGAAACUGAAGGGCUCGAGUCAGCUAGAGGUGCACGGAACUUCCAGUGGAGCGGUGAAAUGUGUUGAUAUUGGAAGGAACACCGGAGGCGAAAGCGGUGCACUGGGGCUGGUCUGACGCUGAGGCACGAAAGCCAGGGGAGCGAACGGG
rnacentral:rRNA from 1 species